rnacentral:rRNA from 1 species
GAAGCAAUUAAAGGAAGUUUUCGGAUGGAAUUUGAUUGACUGAGUGGCGGACGGGUGAGUAACGCGUGGAUAACCUGCCUCACACUGGGGGAUAACAGUUAGAAAUGACUGCUAAUACCGCAUAAGCGCACAGUACCGCAUGGUACGGUGUGAAAAACUCCGGUGGUGUGAGAUGGAUCCGCGUCUGAUUAGCCAGUUGGCGGGGUAACGGCCCACCAAAGCGACGAUCAGUAGCCGACCUGAGAGGGUGACCGGCCACAUUGGGACUGAGACACGGCCCAAACUCCUACGGGAGGCAGCAGUGGGGAAUAUUGCACAAUGGGCGAAAGCCUGAUGCAGCGACGCCGCGUGAGUGAAGAAGUAUUUCGGUAUGUAAAGCUCUAUCAGCAGGGAAGAAAAUGACGGUACCUGACUAAGAAGCCCCGGCUAACUACGUGCCAGCAGCCGCGGUAAUACGUAGGGGGCAAGCGUUAUCCGGAUUUACUGGGUGUAAAGGGAGCGUAGACGGCGAAGCAAGUCUGAAGUGAAAACCCAGGGCUCAACCCUGGGACUGCUUUGGAAACUGUUUUGCUAGAGUGUCGGAGAGGUAAGUGGAAUUCCUAGUGUAGCGGUGAAAUGCGUAGAUAUUAGGGGGAACACCAGUGGCGAAGGCGGCUUACUGGACGAUAACUGACG